UAAAAGUUGUUUUGAUUUUGAUUCAUAGUUUAGUAUUUAAUAAGAUACUACUUUUAG
rnacentral:tRNA from 1 species